rnacentral:rRNA from 1 species
AACGAACGCUGGCGGCAUGCCUAACACAUGCAAGUCGAACGAGACCUUCGGGUCUAGUGGCGCACGGGUGCGUAACGCGUGGGAACCUGCCCUUAGGUUCGGAAUAACUCCCCGAAAGGGGUGCUAAUACCGGAUAAUGUCUUCGGACCAAAGAUUUAUCGCCUUUGGAUGGGCCCGCGUUGGAUUAGCUAGUUGGUAGGGUAAAAGCCUACCAAGGCGACGAUCCAUAGCUGGUCUGAGAGGAUGAUCAGCCACACUGGGACUGAGACACGGCCCAGACUCCUACGGGAGGCAGCAGUGGGGAAUAUUGGACAAUGGGCAAAAGCCUGAUCCAGCAAUGCCGCGUGAGUGAUGAAGGCCUUAGGGUUGUAAAGCUCUUUUACCCGGGAUGAUAAUGACAGUACCGGGAGAAUAAGCUCCGGCUAACUCCGU